rnacentral:tRNA from 2 species
GGGAUUGUAGCUCAGUUGGGAGAGCACCUGCCUUGCAAGCAGGGGGUCGUCGGUUCAAGUCCGAUCAGUUCCA